rnacentral:misc_RNA from 1 species
AACACUGUUAACCUGCGGUACCUGCGGAGGGAUCAUUAUCGAGUUUUUGAACGGGUUGUCUGCUGACUCGCGAGAGUAUGUGCACGCCCGGCUCAUCCACACUCACUUCUGUGCACUUUUCAUAGGCCGGCUCGAGGGUGGUGCGCGAAAGCGCACGCCCGAAGGCUUCAGGCUUAUGCUUUACAACAAACGAUUCAGUUAUAGAAUGUCUUUACUUGCGAUAACGCAAUUAUAUACAAC